rnacentral:rRNA from 1 species
UGAACUUAAGCAUAUCAAUAA